rnacentral:rRNA from 1 species
CCUACGGGAGGCAGCAGUGGGGAAUAUUGGACAAUGGGCGAAAGCCUGAUCCAGCCAUGCCGCGUGUGUGAAGAAGGCCUUCGGGUUGUAAAGCACUUUCAGUGGGGAAGAAAGCCUUGGGGCUAAUACCCUCGAGGAAGGACAUCACCCACAGAAGAAGCACCGGCUAACUCCGUGCCAGCAGCCGCGGUAAUACGGAGGGUGCGAGCGUUAAUCGGAAUUACUGGGCGUAAAGCGCGCGUAGGCGGUCUGAUAAGCCGGUUGUGAAAGCCCCGGGCUCAACCUGGGAACGGCAUCCGGAACUGUCAGGCUAGAGUGCAGGAGAGGAAGGUAGAAUUCCCGGUGUAGCGGCGAAAUGCGUAGAGAUCGGGAGGAAUACCAGUGGCGAAGGCGGCCUUCUGGACUGACACUGACGCUGAGGUGCGAAAGCGUGGGUAGCAAACAGGAUUAGAUACCCGAGUAGUC